CAGUAGCCGCGGUAAUAUGAAGGGGGCUAGCGUUGCUCGGAAUGACUGGGCGUAAAGGGCGCGUAGGCGGCGAUCAAAGUCAGGCGUGAAAUUCCUGGGCUCAACCUGGGGGCUGCGCUUGAUACUUGGUUGCUUGAGUGGGGAAGAGGGUCGUGGAAUUCCCAGUGUAGAGGUGAAAUUCGUAGAUAUUGGGAAGAAUACCGAUGGCGAAGGCAGCCCCCUGGGCCAAUACUGACGCUCAUGCACGAAAGCGUGGGGAGCAAACAGGAUUAGAUACCCCCGUAGUCCCUGUCUCUUAUAC
rnacentral:rRNA from 1 species